CUGAAAGCUGGCACAGGAAAGUCCGUAUCACUGCAUGCUCUGUAGGAGUUUAACCACACCAGGGAGGAGCUCAAUUCUGAGAGUGAAACAGAGGGAACACCACUGCUCUAAGUCAUUGAGAUCCGUGGCUAGAGCCCUGUGGAAAUCGGACUUCGCUCCAAGCUAGAUGUGAAGUUACCGUGGAGCCUGCCAUCCCCUGAAGCUUGUAUACGGAAUGCAGCUGGGUAUGGGCCUGACAGUGUAUGAUCUUCAUGCUGACCAGAACUCCAAGGACCGUAACAUGGGUGUCUUCACAAUAACAGCAACACAAGAGCAAAGGU